UACCAGCUGGCUGCAACUGUUUAUUAAAAACACAGCACUGUGCAAACACGAAAGUGGACGUAUACGGUGUGACGCCUGCCCGGUGCCGGAAGGUUAAUUGAUGGGGUUAUCCUCACGGAGAAGCUCUUGAUCGAAGCCCCGGUAAACGGCGGCCGUAACUAUAACGGUCCUAAGGUAGCGAAAUUCCUUGUCGGGUAAGUUCCGACCUGCACGAAUGGCGUAAUGAUGGCCAGGCUGUCUCCACCCGAGACUCAGUGAAAUUGAACUCGCUGUGAAGAUGCAGUGUACCCGCGGCAAGACGGAAAGACCCCGUGAACCUUUACUAUAGCUUGACACUGAACACUGGUCCUUGAUGUGUAGGAUAGGUGGGAGGCUUUGAAGUGUGGACGCCAGUCUGCAUGGAGCCGUCCUUGAAAUACCACCCUUUAAUGGCUGGUGUUCUAACGUGGGCCCGUGAUCCGGGUUGCGGACAGUGUCUGGUGGGUAGUUUGACUGGGGCGGUCUCCUCCUAAAGAGUAACGGAGGAGCACGAAGGUCAGCUAAUCCUGGUCGGACAUCAGGAGGUUAGUGCAAUGGCAUAAGCUGGCUUGACUGCGAGCGUGACGGCGCGAGCAGGUGCGAAAGCAGGUCAUAGUGAUCCGGUGGUUCUGAAUGGAAGGGCCAUCGCUCAACGGAUAAAAGGUACUCCGGGGAUAACAGGCUGAUACCGCCCAAGAGUUCAUAUCGACGGCGGUGUUUGGCACCUCGAUGUCGGCUCAUCACAUCCUGGGGCUGAAGUAGGUCCCAAGGGUAUGGCUGUUCGCCAUUUAAAGUGGUACGCGAGCUGGGUUUAGAACGUCGUGAGACAGUUCGGUCCCUAUCUGCCGUGGGCGCUGGAGAAUUGAGGGGGGCUGCUCCUAGUACGAGAGGACCGGAGUGGACGCAUCACUGGUGUUCGGGUUGUCAUGCCAAUGGCAUUGCCCGGUAGCUAAAUGCGGAAGAGAUAAGUGCUGAAAGCAUCUAAGCACGAAACUUGCC
rnacentral:rRNA from 1 species